AUUGAACGCUGGCGGCAUGCCUUACACAUGCAAGUCGAACGGCAGCACGGGAGCAAUCCUGGUGGCGAGUGGCGAACGGGUGAGUAAAGUAUCGGAACGUGCCCAGUCGAGGGGGAUAACGUAGCGAAAGUUACGCUAAUACCGCAUACGAUCUAUGGAUGAAAGCGGGGGAUCGCAAGACCGCGCGCGAUUGGAGUGGCCGAUAUCAGAUUAGGUAGUUGGUGGGGUAAAGGCUCACCAAGCCGACGAUCUGUAGCUGGUCUGAGAGGACGACCAGCCACACUGGGACUGAGACACGGCCCAGACUCCUACGGGAGGCAGCAGUGGGGAAUUUUGGACAAUGGGCGAAAGCCUGAUCCAGCCAUGCCGCGUGCAGGAUGAAGGCCUUCGGGUUGUAAACUGCUUUUGUACGGAACGAAAAGGUUUGGCCUAAUAAGCUGAGCUCAUGACGGUACCGUAAGAAUAAGCACCGGCUAACUACGUGCCAGCCGCCGCCGUAA
rnacentral:rRNA from 1 species